ACCCGCCACCCGCCGGCCCUUCCGCCUCACUCAGCGGCGCCACUGAGAGGGACGGGCGCCGGCCAUGGAGCGCACAGCAGGCAAAGAGCUGGCCCUGGCACCGCUGCAGGACUGGGGUGAAGAGACCGAGGACGGCGCGGUGUACAGUGUCUCCCUGCGGCGGCAGCGCAGUCAGCGCAGGAUCCCGGCGGAGGGCCCCGGGGGCAGCCAGGCCCCCAGCCCCAUUGCCAAUACCUUCCUCCACUAUCGAACCAGCAAGGUGAGGGUGCUGAGGGCGGCACGCCUGGAGCGGCUGGUGGGAGAGUUGGUGUCUGGAGACCGUGAGCAGGACCCCAGCUUCGUGCCCGCCUUCCUGGCCACCUACCGGACCUUUGUACCCACUGCCCGCCUGCUGGGCUUUCUGCUGCCACCAGUGCCGCCGCCCCCACCUCCCGGGGUAGAGAUCAAGAAGACAGCAGUACAAGAUCUGAGCUUCAACAAGAACCUGAGGGCUGUGGUGUCAGUGCUGGGCUCCUGGCUGCAGGACCACCCUCAGGAUUUCCGAGACCCCCCUGCCCACUCGGACCUGGGCAGUGUCCGAACCUUUCUGGGCUGGGCGGCCCCAGGGAGUGCUGAGGCUCAAAAAGCAGAGAAGCUUCUGGAAGAUUUUUUGGAGGAGGCUGAGCGAGAGCAGGAAGAGGAGCCGCCUCAGGUGUGGACAGGACCUCCCAGAGUUGCCCAAACUUCUGACCCAGACUCUUCAGAGGCCUGCGCGGAGGAAGAGGAAGGGCUCAUGCCUCAAGGUCCCCAGCUCCUGGACUUCAGCGUGGACGAGGUGGCCGAGCAGCUGACCCUCAUGGACUUGGAGCUCUUCUCCAAGGUGAGGCCCUACGAGUGCUUGGGCUCCGUGUGGUCGCAGAGGGACCGGCCGGGGGCUGCAGGCGCCUCCCCCACUGUGCGCGCCACCGUGGCCCAGUUCAACACCGUGACCAGCUGUGUGCUGGGUUCCGUGCUCGGAGCACCGGGCUUGGCCGCCCCGCAGAGGGCGCAGCGGCUGGAGAAGUGGAUCCGCAUCGCCCAGCGCUGCCGAGAACUGCGGAACUUCUCCUCCUUGCGCGCCAUUCUGUCCGCCCUGCAAUCUAACCCCAUCUACCGGCUCAAGCGCAGCUGGGGGGCCGUGAGCCGGGAACCGCUAUCUACUUUCAGGAAACUUUCGCAGAUUUUCUCCGAUGAGAACAACCACCUCAGCAGCAGAGAGAUUCUUUUCCAGGAGGAGGCCACUGAGGGAUCCCAAGAAGAGGACAACACCCCAGGCAGCCUGCCCUCAAAACCACCCCCAGGCCCUGUCCCCUACCUUGGCACCUUCCUUACGGACCUGGUUAUGCUGGACACAGCCCUGCCGGAUAUGUUGGAGGGGGAUCUCAUUAACUUUGAGAAGAGGAGGAAGGAGUGGGAGAUCCUGGCCCGCAUCCAGCAGCUGCAGAGGCGCUGUCAGAGCUACACCCUGAGCCCCCACCCGCCCAUCCUGGCUGCCCUGCAUGCCCAGCACCAGCUCACCGAGGAGCAGAGCUACCGGCUCUCCCGGGUCAUUGAGCCACCAGCUGCCUCCUGCCCCAGCUCCCCACGCAUCCGACGGCGGAUCAGCCUCACCAAGCGUCUCAGUGCGAAGCUUUCCCGAGAGAAAAGCUCAUCACCUAGUGGGAGUCCCGGGGACCCCUCAUCCCCCACCUCCAGUGUGUCCCCAGGGUCACCCCCCUCAAGUCCUAGAAGCAGAGAUGCUCCUGCUGGCAGUCCCCCGGCCUCUCCAGGGCCCCAGGGCCCCAGCACCAAGCUGCCCCUGAGCCUGGACCUGCCCAGCCCCCGGCCCUUCGCUUUGCCUCUGGGCAGCCCUCGAAUCCCCCUCCCGGCGCAGCAGAGCUCGGAGGCCCGUGUCAUCCGCGUCAGCAUCGACAAUGACCACGGGAACCUGUAUCGAAGCAUCUUGCUGACCAGUCAGGACAAAGCCCCCAGCGUGGUCCGGCGAGCCUUGCAGAAGCACAAUGUGCCCCAGCCCUGGGCCUGUGACUAUCAGCUCUUUCAAGUCCUUCCUGGGGACCGGGGUUGCCUUGUCUCUAUGGUGAGGGGGAGAAUAUUAGGAGGUUGCCCAGGCUUAUGAUAAGGGAAGGCAUGAGGUGGUGCAAGUUUUCAAGUGAGAAGUCGUCCAGGUUCCCAGUGACAGCAGAAUGAGCUUGGCUUGGCAGUAGCUGCAGAGGGACCCAUGGCUGUUCAGGUUCGCGGUGCUCCUGAUUCCUGACAAUGCCAACGUCUUCUAUGCCAUGAGUCCAGUCGCCCCCGGAGACUUCAUGCUGCGGCGGAAAGAGGGGACCCGGAACACUCUGUCUGUCUCCCCAAGCUGAGGCAGCUCUGUCCUCUCCACAAGACACAAGUCCCACAGGCAAGCUUACGACUCCUCUCCUGGAAAGCUGCCAUCCCCCAGUAGAGGCCACUGUGCUGUGUAUCCCAGGACCACCACCCAACUGUAGCCCAUUGGACCCCAUCUCUUUUUCUGACUCUGUUGGUACUAGAUCCAUAUUCCAAAGACAUCAGCCCAUGGGUGGCUGGUGGAGAGCUCAAUCCCAUAAAUGUAGAAAGAGGUGGGGCAUGGAUACGUCAGAUCCCCAUGGAUACGUCAGAUCCCUCCCCAGAGAAAUCUUAUAAAUGUUAGAGACGCAUCAGAAGUGACAGAUGCGGAUGAAAAUAGUGAACAGAGUUAUGAAA